rnacentral:rRNA from 1 species
GCAGUCGAACGGCAGCAUGGGUGCUUGCACCUGAUGGCGAGUGGCGAACGGGUGAGUAAUACAUCGGAACGUACCAAGUAAUGGGGGAUAACUACUCGAAAGAGUGGCUAAUACCGCAUACGCCCUAAGGGGGAAAGCAGGGGAUCUUCGGACCUUGCGUUAUUUGAGCGGCCGAUGUCUGAUUAGCUAGUUGGUGGGGUAAGAGCCUACCAAGGCGACGAUCAGUAGCGGGUCUGAGAGGAUGAUCCGCCACACUGGGACUGAGACACGGCCCAGACUCCUACGGGAGGCAGCAGUGGGGAAUUUUGGACAAUGGGCGAAAGCCUGAUCCAGCCAUGCCGCGUGUAUGAAGAAGGCCUUCGGGUUGUAAAGUACUUUUGUUAGGGAAGAAAAGCUUGUUGCUAAUAUCAGUGAGCCAUGACGGUACCUAAAGAAUAAGCACCGGCUAACUACGUGCCAGCAGCCGCGGUAAUACGUAGGGUGCAAGCGUUAAUCGGAAUUACUGGGCGUAAAGCGAGCGCAGGCGGUUAUUUAAGUCAGGUGUGAAAGCCCCGAGCUCAACUUGGGACGUGCAUUUGAAACUGGAUAACUAGAGUGUGUCAGAGGGGGGUAGAAUUCCACGUGUAGCAGUGAAAUGCGUAGAGAUGUGGAGGAAUACCGAUGGCGAAGGCAGCCCCCUGGGAUAACACUGACGCUCAUGCUCGAAAGCGUGGGUAGCAAACAGGAUUAGAUACCCUGGUAGUCCACGCCCUAAACGAUGUCAAUUAGCUGUUGGGAGAUUAAAAGCUCUUGGUAGCGUAGCUAACGCGUGAAAUUGACCGCCUGGGGAGUACGGUCGCAAGAUA